UCUCAUCUAGGUUCGUGUUAUAAACGAAGCAGGAAAAGGUCCAUGGUCUCAUGAAGUAUCAGCUCAAACGUUGGUUCAUCGACAACACCAUCAAGAACAAAGGCUAGUGGAUACCCCGGAUCAGAUUGUUGAUGAGAUCCCAGCAAGCUCAAGCGAUCAGAGAAAAACCCCGGGUCAUCUUCCGGGAAUUCUUACCGGGGUCGGCCUGGUACUGAUCGCCCUCCUCAUCGCCAGUGUCCUUGUUUAUAGAAGACGAAGGAGGAAGAUUCAGACAGUCGAGCCCGUUGAUUCUUUUAAAAGUUUGGAUGUGCAGGAAUAAAUAAAAGCGGAACAAGAUGUUGGAACACUGUUUCUCUGUGAUUAAACAUUGUUUAUGACUAUUCGAAAGUGCGCGCGAGGCUGAUUGAAAAUAUCCUACGCCGACGCUUGGAAACACUUACUCUGAACAUUGAAAUUAGGAGCACAUGACACCAUGGAAAUAAUGUAACUUUUGAAAGUUGAAAAUGUGAGCUUCCAUAAUUCAUAAUAUUUCUGCAGCGAUUGUUGUUCAUGACUGUCACAAAAAUAAACGAGCCCAUAGGGGUCUGCAGCCCCAUGGAAAUUUUUACAUCAGCAAUAAUCGGGAAAUAAUCACGUCAUGUUUAAACUUCUAACUCCAUGGCCAAUUCGUAGUUAAUUAAAUAUCUUAGCGAGUAUUUUUGUGACGGCAUCAUGAAUUAUCAAUAGUCUUAUUUGCUCGCUUAGCUUUUUCGCAAUGAUUUACAUGUACCGUAAUGUGUCGUGCAACGCCCACGGACUAGCCGAGUUGUUGAGACGUAGCACCAACACUUCAAGAUGCCUUGAGAGAUGCCUUCGCCAAUAUCUCGUAUUACUAUUAGUAACCUGCCACCUCUAUCCAAUCAUGAACGACAUAAUCAUAACGUCAGAAACAAAUAUUGACGUUGUUCAGGCAAGGAUGUUUCAUGGUCUAUGGCCUUAGAGCCUUACGUGGAGACUAUAUAUAGCUACAUGCUGCAACACUUCAAACAGUUGCCUGUAAUCGUCAAGACCUUGCAUUUCAAUGCUGUCAUCUUAACUAGAUAUGCUGUUAUCUGAUCAAAAUGGUGGACAAUCAUUAUUUUAAGUUGGUAGUAGCAGUAGAAGUAGUAUAGUAGUAGAAGAAGUAGUAUAUAGUAG